rnacentral:rRNA from 1 species
ACCUACGGGGCGCAGCAGUGGGGAAUAUUGCACAAUGGGGGAAACCCUGAUGCAGCGACGCCGCGUGAGUGAAGAAGUAUUUCGGUAUGUAAAGCUCUAUCAGCAGGGAAGAAGAAAGACGGUACCUGACUAAGAAGCCCCGGCUAACUACGUGCCAGCAGCCGCGGUAAUACGUAGGGGGCAAGCGUUAUCCGGAUUUACUGGGUGUAAAGGGAGCGUAGACGGAGAAGCAAGUCUGAAGUGAAAGCCCGUGGCUUA